rnacentral:rRNA from 1 species
AGUGAACGCUGGCGGUAGGCCUAACACAUGCAAGUCGAACGGCAGCACAGUAAGAGCUUGCUCUUACGGGUGGCGAGUGGCGGACGAGUGAGGAAUACAUCGGAAUCUACUUUUUCGUGGGGGAUAACGUAGGGAAACUUACGCUAAUACCGCAUACGACCUACGGGUGAAAGCAGGGGAUCGUCGGACCUUGCGCGAUUGAAUGAGCCGAUGUCGGAUUAGCUAGUUGGCGGGGUAAAGGCCCACCAAGGCGACGAUCCGUAGCUGGUCUGAGAGGAUGAUCGGCCACACUGGAACUUGGACACGGUCCAGACUCCUACGGGAGGCAGCAGUGGGGAAUAUUGGACAAUGGGCGCAAGCCUGGUCCAGCCAUCCCGCGUGGGUGGAGAAGGCCUUCGGGUUGUAAAGCCCUUUUGUUGGGAAAGAAAAGCAGCAGGUUAAUACCCCGCUGUUCUGACGGUACCCAAAGAAUAAGCACCGGCUAACUUCGUG